AUGCAAGUCGAGCGGACUUGAUGGAGUGCUUGCACUCCUGAUGGUUAGCGGCGGACGGGUGAGUAACACGUAGGUAACCUGCCCAUAAGACUGGGAUAACCCGCGGAAACGUGAGCUAAUACCAGAUAGGCAUUUCCCUCGCAUGAGGGGAAUGAGAAAGGCGGAGCAAUCUGUCACUUAUGGAUGGACCUGCGGCGCAUUAGCUAGUUGGUGAGGUAACGGCUCACCAAGGCGACGAUGCGUAGCCGACCUGAGAGGGUGAUCGGCCACACUGGGACUGAGACACGGCCCAGACUCCUACGGGAGGCAGCAGUAGGGAAUCUUCCGCAAUGGACGAAAGUCUGACGGAGCAACGCCGCGUGAGUGAUGAAGGUUUUCGGAUCGUAAAGCUCUGUUGCCAGGGAAGAACGCCUAGGAGAGUAACUGCUCCUAGGGUGACGGUACCUGAGAAGAAAGCCCCGGCUAACUACGUGCCAGCAGCCG
rnacentral:rRNA from 1 species